rnacentral:rRNA from 1 species
AACAAGCUAGACAGAGUACGAGGUGGAUGCCUAGGCGCUCAAGACCGAUGAAGGACGCGGAGACCGGCGAAACGUUCAGGGGGAGCUGCAUGCAAGCGAUGAGCCCUGAGACUCCGAAUGGGGCAACCCCUCCAGAGUGAUGUCUGGAGACCUGCAGGUCAAUCCAUAGCCUGCAGGAGGGCAGCGGGUGAACUGAAACAUCUCAGUAGCCCGACGAGAAGAAAUCAACACGAGAUUCCCAGAGUAGUGGCGAGCGAAAUGGGAGGAGCCCAAACCAGCGGCUCUUGCGAGCGGCUGGGGUUGUAGGACCAGCAGCAAAGCCCAAGCCCGAACGCGAAGGUGUUGGAAAGCACCGCCAGAGAGGGUGAGAGACCCGUAGCGAGCCAGGGCGGCGGCUGGACUGGCAUCCUGAGUACCACGGGGCACGAGAAACCUUGUGGGAAGCUGGGGGGACCACCCUCCAAGGCUCAACAUCUUGAGCGACCGAUAGUGAACCAGUACCGUGAGGGAAAGGUGAAAAGCACCCCGAGAGGGGGAUGAAACAGACCCUGAAACCGCGUACUCACCAGCAGUCAGAGGCCACUCCUGCAUGAGCAGGCAAGGGCUGAUGGCGUGCCUUUUGUAGAAUGAUCCGGCGAGUGCAUCGACGUUGCCUGGUUAACCUCCGCUAAAGGAGGGGAGCCGCAGGGAAACCGAGUCUGAAGAGGGCGCCCAGAGGUAGCGGCGAUGCGACCCGAAACCACGUGAGCUAUCCAUGGCCAGAGUGAAGCGGAUGUGAAAGUCCGUCGAGGCUCGAACUCACCAGUGUUGCAAAACUGGGGGAUGAGCUGUGGAUAGCGGAGAAAUUCCAAGCGAACGUGGAGAUAGCUGGUUCUCCCCGAAAUGCAUUGAGGUGCAGCCACGCACCAGCUCAGAUGGAGGUAGAGCA